rnacentral:rRNA from 1 species
UACAGAGGGUGCAAGCGUUGUUCGGAAUUAUUGGGCGUAAAGGGCGCGUAGGCGGCUUGGCAAGUGGAUGGUGAAAUCCCUCGGCUUAACCGAGGAACUGCCGUCCAAACUGCUUAGCUUGAGACCGGGAGAGGUGAGUGGAAUUCCCAGUGUAGCGGUGAAAUGCGUAGAUAUUGGGAGGAACACCAGUGGCGAAGGCGGCUCACUGGACCACAACUGACGCUGAGGCGCGAAAGCUAGGGGAGCAAACAGG